CUAGCCUCACUCAUAAACUCAUGAGCCAAAAAUUUUAUGACAGACUGGCAAUCUCGAGUUGGUCACCACAGCCCUCGCAAGGCUGGGCCUCACGUUACUGUACAACCAGCACCAACCGAAACUCGGUUACCUGGUACAAUCAAUUCUUAUGACACACAAGAUGUUAACCCUGCACGUAUGAUCCCAGCACAUUGGGGAAGCAAGGC